UCUAGUAGCAUUUUAUAAUCUAACAGAAAUUAUAAUAUUUCCAUAUUUUUUUCAACAUUUAAAAAUUUUAAAAAUGUUUAAAUCUAACCGAAAUUUAAAACCGUAUUUUUUUAUUUGUUUAUUUUGCAUGUGUUUAUAAUCAAUUUAGUUGGAUCUUAGAAAUUUCUAUAUAAAUUGUCAAUACUUGGAUUUAAAAUUACAAUAUUUAUAUUUAGAGUGUAACAUUAAUAUUUAUUUAUUUUUGUAUAGAUAAUAAUAUAAAUAAUAUAAAAUUAGAACUAACGUAAAGAUUAUCCACUGAAUAUUUUAAUACAUAUUUAUUUUAUCACUGCCUGAAAAAAUCUCAUCAUACGAUACGAUCGCACUCCAUACAAACUGAGUAAUGUAAAAAUUCCUUGUCAGAUUACACAUUUCCGAUUCUCGAUCAGUUCGCUGCAUAAUAUAAACUAAUUAUAUUGUCAUUUGCUUUUCAAAUUCCCAGUUUGGAAUGAGAAUUUUAUACACAAGUAUACAGACAUGCAGAUAUAUACUCACAUAUACAUACGCAAGGACGUGCAUUGAUCACUGCUGCUGCAGCACUAUGGAAAAUUAGUUGCUGAAUAACUUCUAGUUCUAGAAGUACUAUCUAAAUGAAAUUCUCCAAGUAUGACUAAGAAUUCGAUACGUAUUCCAGGCCCUCAACUUCCGUUCUUGAUUAAUAAUAAUCGAAAUAAAGUCUCAAGGGCUUAGAUGGCUGGGCAUUUCAUUUGUUGAAGUACUAUUAUAACAAUUAUGGUUAAGUCGAAAUUGCAUGUGAAAUUUAAAAAAUAUAUCGUUUAAUAUAUUUAUUAUUAUUUAUUUUUAGCAGUUUUUACUCUGAUUAAUUUGAUAGACCCGAUAUUUUUUGAGAUGCGUAAAUAAAUACUAAAAUAUUUUAAUAAUGUUUCGGUAGCUAAUU